rnacentral:lncRNA from 1 species
GAAGAAUUCCAAAGUCUGAAGCUCCUUGUUUCUAGUCAAUUCAUUUGUUGAGCAUAAUCGUGUAAACAAAAGAGAGUCUAUAUUCGUGAGAAACCUUAAGGAAGUGUGGUAGAACAUCUACACUGUGGAAUCAAGGAAAAGCUGUGCUGUAACUUCUCUUUUGUUCAUAGUGAAAUCCAGCCGGUGGGCUGUCAGUGCGGAAGAGUGGACGUAGGCUUGGAAUAAGCCGAACCACU